CUUUCAGAGACGCCAGUCUCUGUCAGCCCCCAUCAGUCGGCCAAUAGACCCGGAACCUGAGAGAUCGGAAUCCGGGUCCACUCCGCAGAGGCCCGAGCGGGCUCGCGAGGGAACCGGUUCUGCGGGUCUGGCCGGCAAACAGACAAACCGACCUGCAAGGGAGGGCCAGUCCCCGUCCCUGCGGCGGUCACAGCAGCAGCAGAAGGUAGCGAUGGUGUGCAGGUCCAGCCGUCUCGGUGACCGGUGUGUGUGCGCGUCUCCCUCCCCGUGGCGGGGGUCUCAGCUUUCGGGCCCCAGCCCCGCCCCCUUGCCACCCCCGACUUAAGUAAGGCACAGCCCGCGCCCCCUCCCGCCCGGCCCGGAGCGCAUUCAUGACGGAGGCCGGCGCAUAUGGGAACAGCAGGCUUUUAGUGUCGCCCCCCGCAGCCCCCUUCUCCCCGCAGAGCCCGGAUCCGGCAGGCGGCUCAGACCAGAGGUGGGGCGGGCGCGGGCGCGGCGGGCGGAGUGAGUACGAGGCGGAUGCGCUCCACGCACAGCUCCGCUGCCUGGCGCGUCUCGCGGCACAGCGCCGCCAGGGUCAGGAAGCCGUGUGGCAGGUCUUCCACCACGCGCAGCGUCACCGGCUGGCCCAGGUUGCGCAGUCGCCGUGCGAACAUGACCGAGUCGUCCAGCAUGGGGUCCAGCGCACACGCCUACGGGACAGCAGGACGGACGUGGAGGGUGGGGGACCGACAGACCGGGGUCAGGUAGCGCAAGGAGGGGUUUGAUGAACAAAGGGAGCAGGAAAUAUGGAUACAGACAGGGGUGGACGGAGGCAGGAGACAUGGUGGGUGAGGAGUUGGGGAGAGAAUGAGGGAAGGCGGGGAGUGGUGGGAAGGGAGAAUGACUUGAACUGCGCUCCCUGGCCUCUGUCCAGCCUCUCCCUCCCCAUCCCGCCAAACCCACCUUUUUCCCCUCUUGAUUCUCCAAGCCCAAGGGGCUGCCCCACUGAUCCUGUCUCUUGGUACUCAAAAUUGCAAAAUAAAACGGAGACCGCCCUGA